GUUGAAAAUAGAAUGCAAAGCUAAUACUUCGGAUGACUUCAACAUGCAAAUGGUACAACAGGUCUCCUUAGAGCGUGACACAUGCCUCCAUCCCGAGACUUUUAUGGGCAAGGAUGGGCUUUCUGGUGUAACACAACACCCUGCAGUGGCACUGUCAGUGAUACCCUCAAAUGAUCAUCUUGCUUCACAGCAGUCUGUGCUGACACAUGAUCAUGCAGUGACACAG
rnacentral:misc_RNA from 1 species